UACGUAGGCAGCGAGCGUUGUUCGGAGUUACUGGGCGUAAAGGGUGUGUAGGCGGUUGUUUAAGUUUGGUGUGAAAUCUCCCGGCUCAACUGGGAGGGUGCGCCGAAUACUGAAUGACUUCGAGUGCGGGAGAGGAGAGUGGAAUUCCUGGUGUAGCGGUGAAAUGCGUAGAUAUCGUAAGGAAGACCAGUGGCGAAGGCGGGUCUCUGGA
rnacentral:rRNA from 1 species